UACGUAGGGUGCGAGCGUUGUCCGGAAUUACUGGGCGUAAAGAGCUUGUAGGUGGUUUGUCGCGUUGUUCGUGAAAUCUCACGGCUUAACUGUGAGCGUGCGGGCGAUACGGGCAGACUAGAGUACUGCAGGGGAGACUGGAAUUCCUGGUGUAGCGGUGGAAUGCGCAGAUAUCAGGAGGAACACCGGUGACGAAGGCGGGUCUCUGGGCAGUAACUGACGCUGAGAAGCGAAAGCGUGGGGAGCGAACAGG
rnacentral:rRNA from 1 species